UAGAGAUAGGCAGCAUCAAUCUGGGGCAAGCCAAUUUUGUGAUUUGUCAUCCUCAAAAGGGAAGAGGUUUCAACUUGAAAACGAAAAGCCAUAGAGGAGGCACAGAGCUUCCGAGCGGAGGCAACUUCCUUUCCAACUUCUCCUUGCUGGAGAUCCGGCUUGUUUGCCACCCUGUUGAAUUUCUCUGGAAAUACAGACGUGCUCAGAGGAGUAUCCCCCAGGCAAUACCAAAUCCAGUCAAGAUGAACCAUCAUGGGUACAAACCUAAGAAGCAGAGGUGGACUCAAAAUGAAACCUGAGAGACAAGAUGCAGUGGCUGCUGUUGUUUGGCUGCGAGUGUAUUUAGUCAUUUGCUGCUUGCCACAGUCCUUGGACCCUCUAUUGUGUGGAGGUUUCUUCAUUCUCAUUUACUUUAUGUGUCACUUGAUAUGGCUUCUGCUGACCAGCCUUCAAGUUCAUCUUUCUCCAGUGAAGACAUG